UCAAACACUAAAAUAAUUUCCAAAAUCAUCUCCUCUCCGAUAUUUCUCUUACUAGAAAUCCUUCAGUAAAGAAGAACAUGAAGAUUAGGUCUCAAGAACUCAUCUUCUCUACUCCUAUUUGUGAGGAAAUCUCUAACCAACGUAUGAUAGUCUUGAUUCAUGGUCCGAGUGGUUGAGGUUGCUUCUCUUUGGCCGAAGGUUUGGAUUGAUUCUCUCCUUGCAUUGAGUCAUUAUGGUUCAAGGACACGAUUUAUUCUUUUUGGAUUGAUUCUCUCUUUGUCUUGAGUCCUUAUGGUUCGAGGACACAAUUUAUUCUUUCUAGUUUCCUUUUGUAUGUUCUAUUUUGAGACUUUAUUGUAAAAAAGACAGUGACCCUAUCAAUUCGAUUGUAAUAGCGACUAUUGUCUAAUGAGAGAAGGUCUAGACUUCUAUUUCGAUUUAUAAA